rnacentral:rRNA from 1 species
UUCUAAGGGCGUUGAAGCAUGAUCGCAAGGACAUGUGGAGCGCUUAGAAGUGAGAAUGCCGGUGUGAGUAGCGAAAGACGGGUGAGAAUCCCGUCCACCGAUUGACUAAGGUUUCCAGAGGAAGGCUCGUCCGCUCUGGGUUAGUCGGGUCCUAAGCUGAGGCCGACAGGCGUAGGCGAUGGAUAACAGGUUGAUAUUCCUGUACCACCAUUAUUCGUUUUAAGCGAUGGGGGGACGCAGUAGGAUAGGCGAAGCGUGCUGUUGGAGUGCACGUCCAAGCAGUGAGAUUGAGUGUUAGGCAAAUCCGGCACUCUUAAGAUUGAGCUGUGAUGGGGAGAGGAACUUGUUCCUCGAGUCGUUGAUUUCACACUGCCGAGAAAAGCCUCUAGCUAGAAUAACGGUGCCCGUACCGCAAACCGACACAGGUAGUCAAGAUGAGAAUUCUAAGGUGAGCGAGCGAACUCUCGUUAAGGAACUCGGCAAAAUGACCCCGUAACUUCGGGAGAAGGGGUGCUCUUUGAGGUUCACGCUUCGAAGAGCCGCAGUGAAUAGGCCCAAGCGACUGUUUAUCAAAAACACAGGUCUCUGCUAAACCGUAAGGUGACGUAUAGGGGCUGACGCCUGCCCGGUGCUGGAAGGUUAAGAGGAGUGGUUAGCGCAAGCGAAGCUACGAAUCGAAGCCCCAGUAAACGGCGGCCGUAACUAUAACGGUCCUAAGGUAGCGAAAUUCCUUGUCGGGUAAGUUCCGACCCGCACGAAAGGCGUAACGAUUUGGGCACUGUCUCAACGAGAGACUCGGUGAAAUCAUAGUACCGGUGAAGAUGCCGGUUACCCGCGACAGGACGGAAAGACCCCGUGGAGCUUUACUGUAGCCUGAUAUUGAAAUUCGGUACAGUUUGUACAGGAUAGGUAGGAGCCUUAGAAGCGUGAGCGCUAGCUUACGUGGAGGCAUUGGUGGGAUACUACCCUAAUUGUAUUGGAUUUCUAACCCGCAGCACUUAUCGUGCUGGGAGACAGUGUCAGGCGGGCAGUUUGACUGGGGCGGUCGCCUCCUAAAGAGUAACGGAGGCGCUCAAAGGUUCCCUCAGAAUGGUUGGAAAUCAUUCAUAGAGUGUAAAGGCAUAAGGGAGCUUGACUGCGAGACCUACAAGUCGAGCAGGGUCGAAAGACGGACUUAGUGAUCCGGUGGUUCCGCAUGGAAGGGCCAUCGCUCAACGGAUAAAAGCUACCCCGGGGAUAACAGGCUUAUCUCCC